GGAUUAGAUACCCUGGUAGUCCCAGCCGUAAACGGUGUGCACUUGAUGUUGGAGGUUUACCCCCUUCAGUGUCGGAGCUAACGCGUUAAGUGCACCGCCUGGGAAGUACGGCCGCAAGGUUAAAACUCAAAGGAAUUGACGGGGGCCCGCACAAGCGGUGGAGCAUGUGGCUUAAUUCGAUGCAACGCGAAGAACCUUACCAGGGCUUGACAUGAUACUGCAUACGACCCGAAAGGGACGUAGCCUUCGAGGGUGUAUCACAGGUGCUGCAUGGCUGUCGUCAGCUCGUGCCG
rnacentral:rRNA from 1 species